rnacentral:lncRNA from 1 species
UCCUGAGGUAAAAAGAACGAUCAAAACACUAAAGAACAAAAAAGCAGAAGGCCCCGGCGGAAUACCAAAUGAAUUGAUAAAGAACGGAUCGGAAAAGCUAUUCCGCAUGAAACACAAAAUGUUUG